ensembl:lncRNA
GGAAACCAGUCAGAUGUUACAGUCAGUUCAACAAGGACUGGCACACUCUCACUUACUGGCAAUCAGAAUGCUGAGAUGGAUUUACAGACAGACAUAAAACUGGCCAAUACCUACAAGGCAAUAACCGGCUGCAUCCUAACAGACGACACUCACUUGCAUUUCAGUGGACGAGGACCAUGUACACUCUGUGUCUUCCACAACUGAAGAAGUGACACAGUUUAGGGACAACGGAAGGCCUCACAGACUCUGCCAAGCCGGGGAGAGGGCCAGGACACGGUGAGCCAACGGGACAACCGGAGACUGCUUUCAUUUUUAUUUUUGGUCUUUGCCACGUUAGUCUUUCACUAAUCUUUCACUAGUCUUUCACUAGGUGGGCGUUGUAAUCGGCUCACCCUCCCGAGUGAGCUGGAGACCUCCAUCCGCCUGGGCAGUCAACCACGGGGCCCCAGUAAAGGCUCUGGGACACUAAGCUCAGGUGAUCCUGCCUGGGUGCCAGAAAGGACACCGUCCACAGCUCCAUGGGAAGGGACAACAGGACGCUCUGCAGGUGGGAACUUCCUGGACUCCAGCCUGAGCACCUUCCCCUGGGUUGAUUUUUGUCUGUGUCCUGCUCCUGUGCUAAGCCGUGACCAUGAGUAUAUCAGCUUUCAGUGAGUUUUUCUAGUGAAUUAUCAAACCUGAGGGUGGUCUUGGAGACCCCUACCCUUGUAACUGGUGCAGAACUGAGGGCAGUUUGUGGAUGACGGUUCCCUCUAUCCCUGCAACGAUGUUGACUGUAAGUACAUUAAAGUAUUUGUCAGUAACUGGAAAACUAUAUGCAAAAUGUAGUAAGUGGAUGCCUCUGGGCUGUAGGAUCAUGCACGGGAGUGUAUUCUUGUGUUUUUUAAUUUAUUUUUUGCAAGACACUGUGAUUACAAACAGCGGGAGCUCUGUCAACCAACCUCUGCUCCCACAACUCACAUAAUCUUGGUCAAAAUGGGCUGGAUGACUCAGUGAGCCCCAGGAGGGCGAGGAGCCUGCUCUCUGCUGGUCGUGAAUUUCGUCAGUGGAGAUGUGACCGACCAGAAGACCCUCAGGUUUGCUCCAAACCUGUUGAUGCCACCUGUGAUCCUUACUAGUGUCAGAGGCAUUUGAACCAGAGCGACUCCGUCUUGAACAGGGGCUGGGUGAAAUGAGGCUGAGACCUGUGGGCUGCAUCCCUGGGAAGUUAAGCGUUCUUAGUCACAGGAUGAGUAGGAGGUGGGCAGGAGAUAUAGGUCACAAAGACCCUGCUGAUAAAACAGAAUAUGGUAACGAAGCUGGCUGAAACCAAGACGGUGAUGAAAGUGUCCUCUGGUCACCCUCACUCCUCAUUAUAUACUAAUUAUAACGCACGAGCAUGGCAGUGUCAGGAAGCUACCCUAUGUGGUCUAAAAAGGGGAGCAGCCCUCAGUUACAGGAAUUACCCACCACUUUCCCGGCAAACUCAUGAAUGACCCACCCCUUGUUAUCAAGAAAUAUCAUCAAGAAAUAACUGUAAGUGUAUUUGGUUUGGAGCCCACACCACUGGUUUGCCUACAGAGUAGCCGUUCUUUCAUUCCUUUACUUUCUUCAUAAACUUGCUUUCACUUUGUGG